rnacentral:rRNA from 1 species
UACGGAGGGUGCAAGCGUUAAUCGGAAUUACUGGGCGUAAAGCGCACGCAGGUGGCUGAGUCAGUCGAUUGUGAAAGCCCUGGGCUUAACCUGGGAAUUGCAGUCGAUACUACUCAGCUAGAGUAUGGGAGAGGGUAGUGGAAUUCCCGGUGUAGCGGUGAAAUGCGUAGAUAUCGGGAGGAACAUCAGUGGCGAAGGCGGCUUUCUGGGCCUUACCUGACGCUGAGACGCGAAAGCGUGGGGAGCGAACCGG